GGACUACUGGGGUAUCUAAUCCCGUUUGCUCCCCCAGCUUUCGCGCCUCAGCGUCAAGAACAGGCCAGGCAGCCGCCUUCGCCACUGGUAUUCCUCCCGAUAUCUACGCAUUUCACCACUACACCGGGAAUUCUGCUGCCCUCUCCUGCCUUCGAGUCGAACAGUAUCGAAUGACCCUCCCCAGUUAAGCCGGGGGCUUUCACAUUCGACUUAUUCGACCGCCUGCGCGCUCUUUACGCCCAGUAAAUCCGGACAACGCUUGCCACCUACGUAUUACCGCGGCUGCUGGCAC
rnacentral:rRNA from 1 species